rnacentral:sRNA from 1 species
GCCGGGCAUGGUGGUGGCGCAUGCCUGUAAUCCCAGCUACUUGGGAGGCUGAGGCAGGAGAAUCACUUGAACCCGGGAGGCGGAGGUUGCAGUGAGCCGAGAUCGCGCCACUGCCCUCCAGCCUGGGCCACAGAGUGAGACUCUGUCUCAA